rnacentral:rRNA from 1 species
AGCAGCCGCGGUAAUUCCAGCUCCAAUAGCGUAUAUUAAAGUUGUUGCAGUUAAAAAGCUCGUAGUUGAAUUUCGGGAUCAUCAGGUCGGUCGUGCCUCCGGUAUGUACUGGUCUCGAUGGUUCCUCCUUCUUGUAGAACCGUAAUGCCAUUAAUUUGGUGUUGCGGGGAAACAGGACUGUUACUUUGAAAAAAUUAGAGUGUUUAAAGCAGGCGAUCGCUUGAAUACAUUAGCAUGGAAUAAUGAAAUAGGACGUUCGAUCCUAUUUUGUUGGUUUCUAGGAUUGACGUAAUGAUUAAUAGGGAUAGUUGGGGGCAUUAGUAUUCAAUUGUCAGAGGUGAAAUUCUUGGAUUUAUUGAAGACUAACUACUGCGAAAGCAUUUGCCAAGGAUGUUUUCAUUAAUCAAGAACGAAAGUUAGGGGAUCGAAGACGAUCAGAUACCGUCGUAGUCUUAACCAUAAACUAUGCCGACUAGGGAUCGGGAUGAUUAGUUUUAAUUUUUUAAUGUACUCUAGUUCG